GAUGAACGCUGGCGGCGUGCCUAAUACAUGCAAGUCGAGCGAACAGACGAGGAGCUUGCUCCUCUGACGUUAGCGGCGGACGGGUGAGUAACACGUGGAUAACCUACCUAUAAGACUGGGAUAACUUCGGGAAACCGGAGCUAAUACCGGAUAAUAUAUUGAACCGCAUGGUUCAAUAGUGAAAGACGGUUUUGCUGUCACUUAUAGAUGGAUCCGCGCCGCAUUAGCUAGUUGGUAAGGUAACGGCUUACCAAGGCUACGAUGCGUAGCCGACCUGAGAGGGUGAUCGGCCACACUGGAGCUGAACCGCGGUCCAGACUCCUACGGGAGGCAGCAGUAGGGAAUCUUCCGCAAUGGGCGGAAGCUUGACGGAGCAACGCCGCGUGAGAGAUGAAGGUCUUCGGAUCGUAAAACUCUGUUAUUAGGGAAGAACAAAUGUGUAAGUAACUAUGCACGUCUUGACGGUACCUAAUCAGAAAGCCACGGCUAACUACGUG
rnacentral:rRNA from 1 species